AGAGUUUGAUCCUGGCUCAGGACGAACGCUGGCGGCGUGCUUAAUACAUGCAAGUCGAGCGAGGUUACUGUUUUGGAUCCCUUCGGGGUGAAGAAGCUUUAACCUAGCGGCGGACGGGUGAGUAACGCGUGGGUAACCUACCCCAAAGUCCGGGAUAACAGCGGGAAACCGCUGCUAAUACCGGAUGUCUUUACCUUGGGGCAUCUUGAGGUAAAGAAAGGUAACGCUUUGGGAUGGGCCCGCGUCCCAUUAGCUAGUUGGUGAGGUAACGGCUCACCAAGGCGACGAUGGGUAGCCGGCCUGAGAGGGUGGACGGCCACACUGGGACUGAGACACGGCCCAGACUCCUACGGGAGGCAGCAGUAGGGAAUAUUGCGCAAUGGACGGAAGUCUGACGCAGCGACGCCGCGUGAGCGAUGAAGGUCUUCGGAUCGUAAAGCUCUGUCCUUGGGGAAGAAGGUCUUCGGACUUGACGGUACCCAAGAAGAAAGCCCCGGCUAACUACGUGCCAGCAGCCGCGGUAAU
rnacentral:rRNA from 1 species